AUACUUGGCUGCUCUUUCUCAUUUCCUCAGCUUUCCUUUCACCUACUUCAUUCGCUCUCUCUCAGAAACCUAGAGAGAGAAACCUUCGACACCUUCAGCAACCACCGAUCAUCCAAUCAAUGAUGAUUAUGGGGCUUCGAUUCUUUGUUGGGGAAAAACAUGAAGCAGGCUUAAUUAUCAAAUUUGUGCGAAAAUAGAGAGUACCUGAAGAGUUUGAUCGCAGUUGGACGGCGGCCGAGGACGGUUGAGUGGUUGACCAUGAGCUCGUUGUAGCUCCGGUGACCGGAGUUGGGGGAGAUGAAAUAUCAAAAUUGAUUUUUACUUUUUGGUCAUAAAUAGACCAUUUUGUGUUAGAUCUAAGUAAAGAUAUAAUUUCUGGCUUUGCGAAUUGGUUGAUCUACUCUUCUUUGGUCGAUCUAAGGUGGUUGUUUCUGAAUUUGACAGAGGAUCGAUGAAGACACUUUGAAUGCUUACAAAGCUGCUCAGUUUUAAUAGGAAUAUAUGGGUGUAUUGUACGCAAAUUCACAUAGUGACGGUCAUACAUUGAUCAUAAUCUCACACAAUGCCAGCCCAAUGGCAUCGUGUCGUUGUCCAUAAUGAAAUGUUGGGUGCCUAUGUUGUUCAACAACUUGUGGAAAACUCUUCGGUUAAUGUUGAGGGUGACAUUGAAAUUCGAGUUUACAAUAAAGGCAUCACUGGCGAAGUUGCGAGAAUGCCAGAAAUUUGCUUUGUGUUUACAAUUAUGGUGGAAGAUUAUUGUAGAUAUGCCAAGAAGGUGUUUAGCUGUUCUACCCAAAGUGCGCCUCGACUGAUCUCUUCGUGGAUAAAACCUCCUGCAGGGCUCACCAAAAUGCCUAGGAUGCUCUUAACGACAUUAAACUAAUAAAAUGUUGAUGCACACAUCACCACUCAAUAUGUAGGUUUUGAUGCGGUUGCUCGGGAUGAACAUGGGCAGCUGUUGUGGGUUGCUGUUCGAAGGGUGGCUGCGCAAUUAGAGGUGGAGUAAGCAGAAGCUGAAGCGGUGCGUUUUGGAAUGCAAAUUGCACAUAGGUUGGGCAUCUUGAACAUCUGGAUUGAAGGAGACUCUGCUAAGAACAAACUUGUUCUUCAUCAUAUUCUUCUGGGUUUUAGCUUUUUCUGGAGAAUUUCCCGCUGGAAAGAAAUGGAGGGUGGAAAAUUAUUUCAGAAUUAUGGGGUGGUUUUGAUUCAAUUUGGUAAAAAAUUGGGAUUAUAUUCCAUGCGUUUUAAAGUCAGAGGCUUAUUCAUUUAUUUAUUUAUCUAUUUAUCUAAUUGAUUAUUUUCUUAAUGGAGUUUGCUAGGGGUUUUCAUUACUUGUAGACUAUCGAUUUUGCUACUAGAUGGUUAAGAUGCAAGUGAAUCAUUUUCAGGGGAUAAAAGGUAGGAUGUGGCUCCAAACCAUGCUGCUUCUUCAGGGAAAGGUCCUCCUAUCCUUGCUGUGGUUAAUACUCUUAAGGUAGCAACUGCAGCUCAUUGCAUCAAGCAUAUAGCGAUGAUAAUUAUGACUUCAAAUGCAACAAAUCGCUUUUCUUUAUCUUGUCGUUCAGGCAAAACAAAAAGUGAGCUUCACAAGUGUUUAGACUGUUUACUGAUAUAUAGUACGGAGUAAUGAUAUUGAGCUUCGUAGCUUUUUGGCUUGUUACUUUUUUACACAUUUUUAAUCCAUUUUUAAUAUCGAGAAUUUUCUUAGUAGGCCCGGAAUUCUAUAUUCUUUGUAAAUUAUCUUCUGAUCGUGUGUUUGAUAUGAUAUAGCUUGAUUUGAUUAUCGUCAAACUGGCGAGUUAAUAUGUUCUUUUGGAUACAUGUAUAAUCUAAGAAUACGAUCAAUUUGUUUUGUUCAGGAUAAUUUGGAGUGGAAGUUUUUGCAGUCAAA